rnacentral:rRNA from 1 species
UAACAAAAACAUCUCUUAUAGAAUCUAAUUGUAAGUAAAACCUGCUCAAUGAAAUUUAAAUAGCCGCAGAAUAUUUACUGUGCUAAGGUAGCAUAAUCAUUUGUUUUUUAAUUAAAAACUAGAAUGAAAGGUUUAACAUUUUAAUUUCUUUCUUAAAAAUUUAUAUCUAAAUUAUACUAAAUAUAAAAAUAUAUUUAUUUUUAAAAAAGACGACAAGACCCUAUUGAACUUUACUUUUGUUAAGCUGGGGCAGCUAAUUAAUUAUAAUUUUAAUUUUCUUUUUAAAAAAAUGACCCAAUAAUAUUUGAUUAUUUGAUUAAGUUACCAUAGGGAUAACAGCGUAAUUUUUUUUUUAAGUUCUUAUUUAAAAUAAAGUUUGCGACCUCGAUGUUGAAUUAAUAUUCUAUAUUACGCAAUAGUAAUAAAUAGUAGGUCUGUUCGACCUUUAAUAUAUUACAUGAUCUGAGUUCAAACCGG